AUUUCAAUUUAUUACACGAAAUGUUAACGGCUGUUUUUUGUCGGCCAAUCACGUCACGCCUCUCGUCUUUUCAAACUGCGGCGGAUCGCGCUCUUUUCACUCCGGCCUGGUUUGAGGGGAAUCGCGAUGCUUUGGACCGUUCCGUAAGUUACGGUAGAUAAUACUUGUUAAAAUGCGUAGUGCUGAAAAAAACGAUCAUAGAAAUAGUUAGCUAACAAAUAUGUUGUUAAUUAGUUGGAGAGUGGCGACGUGCGUCGAGCAGUGUAGCGUUAGUGAAGUGUUAGCCAGGCAGAGCGCACGACAAGCUGCCCAGCACACCAGAUCAUUAUAAACAACUAAAAGAGUGCAUUAUAAGUGAAGGAUUUAACGUGGAGCGUUUGCUUUGCUGCAUCAGGUACGUUCACAGUGCUCCUGUGAUGUGUUUUGCGGUUGACCGAGUGAAAUGUUGUCUGUUCUCAUCGCAUUACUUUCUACGGUAUGAAUUUUCUUCAAGGACGUUGUCAAGAAUUUGAUUUGAUGUUGACAGAGAUGAAGGAGCACAGGAGCCCUACCACAAAUGCUGGAGAGUGCCGUCAAAUCCAGCAGUGAAGAUGAACAUCUAAGGGGACUCCCACAAUGGCUUGAGUACUAAUGCUGCUCAGAUAUGCUGUGUGUAUGGAAAGACUGAGGAGUUGAAAGCUGAUUCUACCCUGGAAAGGAGUAAUUUUCUCUUUUAGAGGGGAUGGAAGACCAAGCAGAUACUAUAUUAAAAAGUGCUACACAAUGAUGGUUGUUCUUGCAUAUCUUCUGCCACCGUUGCCUGGAAGUCGAUGCAAUGUUAAAUCUGAAAUUUAAUUUCUUUCAAUUUAAUUUUGUACCGCGUGGAGCCACUAUUGCAUCCCUCUGCAGCAGUUUUGAGACCGCAUCAAAGACCAGACCACAGCCGAUCUACAUUGGAAGUUUGAAGAGCACAACAUGACAGUACAUCAUUAUGAGGAUUGACAGACUAACCAUUCCUGUGGAUGAGGGCCUGAUGUGCUGUGGACAAUAUAUUCUAGGUGUGAAACUUGUCCUGUCCACCACAGAUUAGUUUGGUCUUUUCUUUCUAAGACUGGAGCAUCUAAUAUUGAAACACCACAUUCUCUUCUUUUUAAAACUGACAUUGUUUCGCUAGAAAACAACCUCUUCUUCAGCUGUGAUCGCGUACAGCCCGUUUAAACACUUCAAAGACUUUUGAAACUGCAUUGAUUUGGACUUAAAAACGAUGGUAACCAAUGAACUCCAUUGUUAGAAGAAAAAUCCAGAAAUGUUUUCCUCAAAAAACAAAAUUUCUCUCCCACUGAGGAAAGAAAGACAUGGAUAUCUUGGAUGGCAUUGGGUGAGUAAAUUAUUAGGAAAUUUUCUUUUUGGGGUGAACUAAUCCUUUAAGCAUACAAUGAACACUCACAGUAGCUUUUAGUCAAUAUAAAGCGUUAUGUUAUCUUAUGUUAUGUUAUGUUCUUACACUGCAUUAAGUAAUGCAUUCAUAAAGUGAUUCUCUAUUAAAGUUGUUUAAAUGUGAAAAACUUUGUUUAUUAAAGUUUAUUGCAAACGAA